rnacentral:rRNA from 1 species
AACGAACGCUGGCGGCAUGCCUAACACAUGCAAGUCGAACGAGACCUUCGGGUCUAGUGGCGCACGGGUGCGUAACGCGUGGGAACCUGCCCUUAGGUUCGGAAUAACUCCCCGACAGGGGUGCUAAUACCGGAUAAUGUCUUCGGACCAAAGAUUUAUCGCCUUUGGAUGGGCCCGCGUUGGAUUAGCUUGUUGGUAGGGUAAAAGCCUACCAAGGCGACGAUCCAUAGCUGGUCUGAGAGGAUGAUCAGCCACACUGGGACUGAGACACGGCCCAGACUCCUACGCGAGGCAGCAGUGGGGAAUAUUGGACAAUGGGCGGAAGCCUGAUCCAGCAAUGCCGCGUGAGUGAUGAAGGCCGUAGGGUUGUAAAGCUCUUUUACCCGGGAUGAUAAUGACAGUACCGGGAGAAUAAGCUCCGGCUAACUCCGUG